GCCGAAGUGAUGGAAUUGGCAGACGUGCUGGACUCAAAAUCCAGUGGUAGCAAUACCGUGCGGGUUCGACCCCCGCCUUCGGCA
rnacentral:tRNA from 2 species